ACACUAUAAAAGUCGGGCAAACGAAGCAGUCAGUCUUGCACGCCGCCUCUGACGGAGUCCUCCGCCACCUGCAGCUCUGCACGCAUUUCCACCAGCUCAUCUAAAACUUCGAUUAUGUGAGUAUUCUCUUUCUUGGAAUCAAGCGUGCUAAGAUGCAAGCUAAAUUUUGGAAGGCAAUGGACGCCAUAAAUUGCACCAAAAAGCACUUAUUUGUCAUCUGGACGCCGGUGCUGUUAGCUCAAGGCCUGGAUCUGCAACACAAGGACAAGAUUGACUACAAAAUGGCAGAAUUUCGGUUUUUAUAUUAAAUAUUAGUUAUUAAAUAGUAAUUUUCUUUUUCUUUGUCUGCAGGCUCCAAAAUGGCUGUCAUUGGCGUGGCUUCAUGAGGCAUUUGCAAGUCUUCUCUUACUCAACAUGCCCACCAAAUGCCAGCAAGCUGUGGGUGGUUGGAGAAAAGUCCAGCGCUGGCUGUCCUGCUUUCAUCACUGGUGAUGCCAAAGGACCAGGUUCUUGCCGCAUGGAUCUUCCCCGGUGAAGAAAAAGCUCAUCUCCAAGUUCAGUUCCAGUAAGACAGCUGUCUGGGACUUGGUCAACAUGAUCCUCCACCUGCUAGGCAAAGACAUUCUCCAAAAAGGUGUCCGUCCUGUCGAGUCUUUCAGGAGCUUGGCCUGCUGUUGGUCGUGUGAGAGUCCAGGUCCACAAAUUGGAAAGCCCUGCCACAGUUUGACUUUAGCCACAUGUGCUUCUACUCUGUUGGCUGGUAAACUAGGUCCAGAGUAGAAGCACCAGUGGCUAAAGCCAAACUGGCAGGGCUUUCAUUUUCUGGACCUGGAUUUGCAAACUAUUUACAGGUGGAUCAACAAGGUGAAAUGCUACUCGCCGGAAGCUUCAAGUUUACUUCGCUUUGGACUGGUGGAAGUCUCUUGAAUCCUCACUACCUGAAGAAGAGCAAGAGUCCUCUGCUGGUGAAGUCCCAAGAGUCUCUGCAACAACGCUUGAAGUUUUCUUGGUGCUUCCUCAUCCACAAGGUGCUGCAAGCCCAAUUCUGAGUUAGGAGUGGAAGAAAUAAAACUUAGACGGCAACAACUGAACAUGAAUAGCUUCCUGUUGAUGCAGCCUUGAACACUUUGUGCCAGAAAACUACUCUUUCCCACUGGUCCCCACUCAUCCUACUGGCCGACCGACCACUUUUUGUCUUAGGUCCACACGCUGAUUGUCCACUGGCCAACCACCACACGGCAACAAGCAGACUGCCAUCCAACUUGUUUGACUGAUUACUGAUUACUCUGUUUACUCUGCAAAAGAAAUUAAGCUUAUUUGAAAGAACA